AACGCGAAGAACCUUACCUAGCCUUGACAUGCAUUGGACCGACCCUGAAAGGGGUCUUUCCCGCAAGGGACCGGUGCACAGGUGCUGCAUGGCUGUCGUCAGCUCGUGUCGUGAGAUGUUGCGUUAAGUCGCGCAACGAGCGCAACCCCUGUCCUUAGUUGCCAUCAUUAAGUUGGGCACUCUAGGGAGACAAACCCUCUUUGAGGGUGGGAAGGUGGGGAUGACGUCAAGUCAGGAUGGCCCUUACGGCUAGGGCUGCACACGUGCUACAAUGCCUGAUACAGAGGGAUGCAAGACCGCGAGGUGGAGCAAAUCCUGAAAAUCAGGCCCAGUUCAGAUUGUAGUCUGCAACUCGACUACAUGAAGUUGGAAUCGCUAGUAAUGGCGCAUCAGCUACGGCGCCGUGAAUACGUUCCCGGGCCUUGUACACACCGUAGUAC
rnacentral:rRNA from 1 species